UUCAGUUUCAGUUUGAUGUUAGCGACUCAAUCAUACGGAGUGUACUAUAAUACUGAUUGCAUACCCGCGAAUUUCUAAAAUAAAAAUAAAAGCAAAGGAGAAUAGUUUAUAAUAUAGAAAGCGGAUAUAAUCAUACGGACUGAUAAUACAUAUAUUGUGCAAAUAAUUUUUUUUUCCGUUCGUCGUGUGUUGUUUUGGAUUAUAAUUGUGAUAUUUGGACGUUUCGGGUGCCGGGUAUAAAAAAGAAAAUACAAUUUUCUUUGCAGAGAACAAAUUUGAUGAUAAGAAUAAGUUAGAAGAUAAAUUCGGUGCUUUUGAAAUUGAUAUGAUAUAUACUCAACAUUGUCUUGUGAAUUGAUCUGAUCGGGAGCCGUGAGAGUAAUUACAUUUGUUGUGCAGGAAUUUACGCUUUUCAUCUGAUUCGUUAGUAAGUUAUCCUUGGAAAUAAAGUAUUCAGUUUCGUUCAGAUUUAAUUUCACUUACAAUUUGAUGUGAUCAUUUGAUACAAUAUUAUGUGUGCAUAAGCUUAAAACAGCAACCAAUAGUGAGAAUCUUACGAUAGAAGAAAACAAAAACUAUAAAAUUGGUGCGGUAAUUGAUGGUGAUUAUAAAAUAGAACUCGUUGAAAGUGUAACAGAAUAAUGAUGUUAAAAGCAUAAAAGUUUCAUUCAACGAAACAACAACAACAAAAUUAACUUCGAUGAAAUGUGAUAAUAAUUUGAAACGAGCGCACACACCUUUAUUAAAACAACAUUUUUCGCUUCAACAUUUUUUAUGUUUACCGAGUCUCGGACGAUUGCGAUAAGAGAAAAGCAAAUAAACUGAACAUUACCGAAUAAUAAAGCAGAAAACGCCCAUUACUAGACGAAGAAGAAGUAAAAGAAGAAAAAAAAACAACAGCAACACCGACAUAGGAAAGCAUGCAAGAAAAGCUCUCUUCGAAUAGACGUGUACCAACAAAGCAUUAUACUCAAAAUAUUGUACAUAAAUCGUUUGAAGGCAAAAAUCUGCUGACUACUUAAACAACUUUAUGUGGAUAUAGUAUACAACUUCACACAUCCGAUAGAGUUCUCUGUGUGUUAUUAUAACAAUUUUGGUUUUUUUUUUGUUCGGGAGUCCACGUUAAUGUUCUUCUACAUCAGAAAGUAUAUUCGAAAGUAGAUAUAUCCCCAAAUUUGCCAUAUUGGAGAACAUUGGCAGGGUACAAAAAAAAACGAAGUUGAAAGAACAAGAAAGAACGGGAAAAAAAGUUUCACGCAAAGAAAAAUAUUGUUGUAAUGUAAUAUACAUGAAGAAACGAAACAAAACAAACCAUAAAAUGUAAUAAAUAAUGUACCAACGCCGAGUCGUAGCAAAAUAAAAACAUUUUUCACAAAAUAACGAAAAGAGAGAGCGGGAAAUAUUCUCGACGCACAUAAAUAAUAACAAUAAAUAAAUUAUUUAAACGAUACAACAACAAAAAAUAGGACGCGCAAAACAAAAGGAAUUGGAACGCAUAAAAAAAACCCAACGAAACAAAGUGAAAUGAAAAAAAAAAUGGGAAAAUUAAUCGACAAAAUUGAAAUAUAAAAGUUAAAUAAUUAAAUAAAUCAUGGAAUUAAUGCCGCGUAAACACAGAAAUAAUUCGGUUGGAAGUUAUAUACACUGGUACGAAAUUGUAUGGAAAUUAUUUUGAAAAUUGCAUAUUUGUGAUGCAAAAUUUACUGUGAAAGCAACUUUUAUGAACUUAAAACGCAAACAGCUAAACGUGAACAAAGUAGAAUAAUCUUUAAAAAAAAAAGUUGAAAGUAAAAAAGCAAUUCCACUGCAUCUACACAGCGAUAAAAACACAUUUUUCUCUGUUGUUUUUAUUCCCUCCAUCUUUCUCCACACAUUUGAACAUCAAAAGCGAGUAUUUUCUUGUGAGAAAAGUUUCAACUGGAAACAAAGUCACAAACCAACCAAAAAAAAAAACGAAUUGAAAAUAAAAAUUGAGCUUAAACAUGUAAAUGGAAGAAUACGUUAGCACACAGAGACUUUUGUGAUUCUUUAUUCUGUAAAAGUUAAACUAAGAAAAAUCAUCCAAACGAGAUAUACUACCACCCAUUGAGGACAAGGUUGAGUAAGGUUACGUGUUGUAAUCAGAAAUAAAAUCCGUUUCUUUUUCCGUUAUUUAUACACAUAUAGCCGGGCGCACAUAACCACCCAUCAACGUUUUGCAACAUCUAAUAAAAAUGUAAGCUUGUAAAAACCGGAAAAGGAAACCCCAUAAAAAUGGAACAGAAUUCAUCGGAGAAAUAAGUAAUUUCGAUUGGGAUUUUCAGUUCGGAAUAAAAACAACUCGCUCGUAUGUGUUCGGUGUGUGAGUGAGUGUUUGCUAUUUUCCCCGUGAUCCGCUUGCUAAUGAUCGAGCAGGGAUAUAAUAUCGAAAAUAUACAAUGAUAAUUUCGCGCACAUUGUAUACGAACUCUAAAUUACUUAUCUAAAGAACCCACAGUCGACCUACAAAUUGAAAUAAAUAAAUUCCGAUAAACACAAGAAAAUUGGGCACACACAAACAAGUCAUAAAUUAGAACCGGAAACAUUUGCGUAGAGAAAAACAGAUACACAGAACACUCAGACAUAAAACUUGUGAAGAAGAAACGUAAACAAUUUUUCUUACAGUCAAUCGUAUUGAACUAUGGUAAUUCACCGUUUAACCGAAUAACCACACAUAAUAAAGAAGUGUUUAGUCAGUGAGUCGCAUACCAGUAACAUCGUCCACAACAAUAUAUUACCACCCAUCUAUUGCUACUACCACUACUAUUACUACUACUACUACCAACAACCAACAUCAACAAAACAAAACAAUUUUCACCUGCUUUAUAAAAUAUAUUAUGCCAAAGUGUUGGAAUAACAAACCGACGGGCUAUGUUUGUGAUGCUGUCAGUCCGCACUACCACCGUUUGUAAACGGCAAGCCGAGACGGGCAAGGAGAAGGUGACCACCCUAGACAACAUAUUCAUUAACAACAAUAACAACAUUGAGAAAACUUUUACCAAAUCGAUAUCCUUCGACAAAAACAUUCACAAAAGUAAUCUGCUACUAACUGAGCUGAAUAACUUUAAGCAACCGCCGACACUGCAGGCGCCGGUCGCAACAAUAUUAAACGAUUUGAGUCCAAUACCAAUACCCAAUAAAGUCACUAAUCAAAAAGCUCAUCUACCGAAUAGCCAUAUGACCCCAAAGGGCCUUCCAGACAACUCGCCGGACGUAAAGGCCAUGCGGUAUUACAGACUGUGGAUAUAUACUUGCAACGCUGUGCUGUUAAUGGCGGUCAUUGUAUUUUGUGGCGUUGCUGGUAAAGUACUUUUAGCCGAUUACAAACGUCUUCUAGUCAAUGGUUUAAAUUUAGGUCAACCUAGUUUUAUUUAUGCUUAUCUAGCGCUGCUAGUGCAAUCAGGUUUCCUACAGCUGAUAGGGUGUCUCGGUGCCUUACGAUUAUCUGAGAAAUUAUUAAAUGCUUAUUGGAUGCUGUUAUUGGUUCUGCUAAUCGGCGAUGCUAUACUAGGUGUAUUUUGGAUGUUUAAAUUCGAAAAAAUCAUGCAAGGACUACAACCAAUGUUGAGAUAUCGUCUGACGACGGAGUACGGAUACUCAAUAGAAUUCAGUGAAUUAUGGGACAGACUUCAAAACGAAGGCCGAUGUUGUGGAAUAACUGGACCACAAGACUUCACAUCAACAGCGAAUCGAUCAUAUCCAACAUCGUGUUGUUCGCCCGACAUAACGGAUCAAAUAUCGAUAACCAGACGUCCAUUAGCUUCAGCUGUGGUCAUACGAAACGAUGACUUGUCGUCAUCGGUAAAUAGUUUAAGUGCACAAAUAAAAAAUAAUAUUAGCGAAAUGACUGAUGCAUCGUGGAGUCAUGUGUUGACGGAUAGUAGUAAAGAAGAAACACGAACGGUGGCUGUGUGUCGAGCGAUUUAUCCGCAGGGUUGCUACGAGAAAAUUGUUAGCUGGUUACGUAGCACAGCCGAUAUACUGUUCGUACUCGGCUACUGUGUAAUUGCCUUCCUUAAAUUAUCCUUUUUGGGAAUUUUACGAUACGAAAUUAAAGAAAUGAUACAGAAAAUAAAAUUGCUACAGACUGAAAUGGCGUCCGCGAUAUUAGGCCAAGAAGCUGAACAACAACAGAAUUGUAUUUUGCUCCAAAUACCCACAACAUCGAUAAAUGGUGGCAUUCACGCUGAACCGAAGGUGGGCAAUCGAGAUCGAGAACGAAAUCGAAUGGGUUCCGGAGAAAGUGAACGUGAAUCUCUGCUAAUACACGAAAAUACUCCAAAGUAUAUCCGACAAAAGUCUCUGCAUGUGUGUGCCGAACAAGCAGAAGACACAAGCGGAGCCUCCAAGACAAUAAACGGAAAUAAUAACUACGAGUUAUCUGAAUUCGAUGCAAAGGCACCAACAUACAGAAAAUCUAAAUGGCCAUCCUUAUGAGAAAUGCAGGCUUACAUAGCUAGAGCACGCAGCGAGUCCGAGCAUAUCCUAUGUACAGAAAUAUUCUAAAAUCCAAUAAUUAAAAAGAAAAGAAAAAAAACAAACCAAUCAAUCAAUCAUCCCACCCACACAAAUUUAUUUAUAUUUUAAAUGUAAAAACCAAGAACAAAAGAGAAGAAUUACGUGCGAAAUAUAAAUAAACACAUUAACGACAACCACUUCCAUCCAAAAAACAAAAAAAUAUUUUUUUUUUCUUUUAAUUACCUGGCAUUUGCAUGUAUAUAAUCCUCGGAAAAAGGGGAACAAAAAUAUCGCAAAAAAACCACCUCUUGUACAGACACAGCCAUAUGAUACACACUUUUGAAGUAGAUUUACCAGCACAACCCAUUCAGAAUGAAUUUGAAAUUAAAGAAGAAAUGAAAAAAAAAAGUUCAAUGAAAAUUAAACACACAACCAUCCACAUUAUAAUCAUGGCACAUAUUUAUAUACACCAUUAUCCGAUGCCUAAAAUACUGUUCAGUGUUAACGAAAUACUCAACAACGCGCCGACGGUUACCAAGAUCUGACUACGGUAUUACUUGGAACAGUUAUUCGGCAACCGGUGGAGGCAGUACGGUCGACGUCGCUCCCGAAGAAGUAGAACUCCGCGAAGUGAGCUACACGAGCCGGGCGUAAGAUUUUACCAAUCCACCGAAUAUGUUGACGACAGUAACGACUGUGAAUGUGAAGACAUUUGAACAAACAAAAGAUAAAAGAAAUUAUCUCAACACAACCGAAAAAACAAAAACGGAAAAUAUUAAUAAAAACCAAACAAACGAAUUAUACAAAUGUAAGUAGCCAGACGAGACAAUGAACUUUGAAAUUUAAAGAAAAGAAAAACAAAUUUGCUUUCGGCACAAAGAGAAAUGAAAUAAUUUGAAUUGCUUGAAUUAACGUAAAACAUGAAUCAAGGGAAGGAUUUGAAUUAUGUUUAACAAACGACCGUCAAAACUGUGUUUCGGUUAGCCAUAUAAUUCAAGUUUUAUUUUGUUCCGGAAUUUACAAGACAUAUAAAACGGGUGUGGCCAUACGAAUCGUAAAUUUGAAAUAGUUUUACAAUAAAGCAUCAGACAGUGUUCAGGUAUGGCUGAUCUAUGGAUUUCCUGAAUCUUGGGCACUGUCCACUUUAAAAGAAAAAAGGAAAUUUUGAAAUCAAAAAGCUUCCACAACAAGCAAACACCAACCAAGCUGCAUCCAAAAGUCAACGCGUUGUUUCGAAAAUUAUUUCCUAACCGCGAUGACCAGAUGAAAAAUGCCAUUCAUGCCACGCUAUACGUUAACUCAAUGUUUAUAACGCAGUGGCUGGCUGACAGAAAUAUGACCGAGUAAAAAAUUCGGAUUCUCAAUCCAGUUCAUGUCACAGACGUGGAAAACAUUAGCGUCUUGUAAAUUGUGGUCAACGCCGGAUAUUAUCAUCUGGCAACUGAUCCUUUACGUUCCGCAUAUUGUACAGUCCAGGUCUUUCUGCGCAGAUUUUUUUAUUAUUCCGGAUUUUGAUCGGUAGCCCAUUCCGCGAGACAAAUGGGAAUGCGUUAGAAUUUAUUGGGGUGAUGUAAGCCUUGUCUAAUCUCGAAAAUAUGACAGAAGGAACGAUAUUGAUGAGACGGUAUUAUUGCUACCGUCUAUAUGAUAUUAUCAUCUGUUUACCACUCCCCUGUGAAUAAUAAGCUCAAGAAUUUAUUUCCAUUUUACAGAUUAAGACGAUACGCUCACACGAAUAUUAUAAGAGAAAACGAAUUCUUUAAGAUCUUUAAGAUAAAUAUUUUCAUUCUGGGAUGGAAACGUUGUGAAUGAAGUUAGUGGCAAAUAAUUCUCAUUAAAACGAACGCUAUGCAAUGAUAUUCAUAUCCGCGAAGAUUCGCUUAAAUUAUUGCAACUAACUCAAAACUAUACUUAAAAUGUCUACAAACAUAGCGAAGCUUUAGGGCAUGAGACCGCGCAUUAUUUUCUAGAACUACAUCAGCACAAAUUCUGCUUUUUAGUGCUUUUGGAUUAUGCCAACUUCUAACAUCUCACCUCUAUCGCAAUUUUAAUGCAAAUCAUACAGAUUUCGACAAGUAUCACAAGAGUAAUCUACAAAUUGCAUUACACAUUAGUAACUUUUCGCUUGCAGUUGUAAGACUAUUAUGACUUGGGCUUUAAAUAAGUUUUUGGAAGUAGAAGAAGAAAACGAAAAAAACGCACGAAAUUACGACAAUACUUAAAACUUAAUUCAGAAACCAUCAAAGCCUCUUCCCCAUACCUACAAUAUU